CCGGGUUGCGGACAGUGUCUGGUGGGUAGUUUGACUGGGGCGGUCUCCUCCCAAAGAGUAACGGAGGAGCACGAAGGUUGGCUAAUCCUGGUCGGACAUCAGGAGGUUAGUGCAAUGGCAUAAGCCAGCUUGACUGCGAGCGUGACGGCGCGAGCAGGUGCGAAAGCAGGUCAUAGUGAUCCGGUGGUUCUGAAUGGAAGGGCCAUCGCUCAACGGAUAAAAGGUACUCCGGGGAUAACAGGCUGAUACCGCCCAAGAGUUCAUAUCGACGGCGGUGUUUGGCACCUCGAUGUCGGCUCAUCACAUCCUGGGGCUGAAGUAGGUCCCAAGGGUAUGGCUGUUCGCCAUUUAAAGUGGUACGCGAGCUGGGUUUAGAACGUCGUGAGACAGUUCGGUCCCUAUCUGCCGUGGGCGCUGGAGAAUUGAGGGGGGCUGCUCCUAGUACGAGAGGACCGGAGUGGACGCAUCACUGGUGUUCGGGUUGUCAUGCCAAUGGCACUGCCCGGUAGCUAAAUGCGGAAGAGAUAAGUGCUGAAAGCAUCUAAGCACGAAACUUGCCCCGAGAUGAGUUCUCCCUGAGACCUUGAGUCUCCUGAAGGAACGUU
rnacentral:rRNA from 2 species